UGCUACGGGAAUUGUAUCAUACCUAUAUAAAUAUUUAUCUAUCUUCGAGCGGCAUCGCUCAGAAAGAAAGAGUAAAAAAAAAAAAAAUCUGACGUACGAUAAUCGUGACAAGGAAGCAGCAGGGAGGCAAUAUUAGUAAAUUAUAAAAAACGGAAACAAAAGCCAUGGAUUCCAUUUUUGAUGUCAGACUGCCCCCCCCCCCCCCCCCCCCCCCAUAUUACAUCCUCACGCACCCUAUUCAUUCCCUAUUCCUUUCACCUUCCCCUUUGCCCAGCUUGAGGCAAGUGUAUUUGAAUUCCUGCCACCAUAAAAUCGUGCGGAGAUUGAGAAAAUCGUCCCCCACCGUAUACCCUAGAUAUACAGUAGCCGCCAGCCCGUAUAUAGCAGAUAAUGGAUAAACAUUAAUUAUGAUACGUAAACAAAAAUUUUACAAUUUAAUACAGUAAUUCGUAAAUGUAAUAGGGAUCUGUGUGUGUAGGCCGUAGGGCGGUUAACUUGCUAUUUGAAAAAGAAGGAGAGAAAAAAAAAAUUAUAAUCGUAAAUAUUAAACGCUGUAUAAUAUACGUAGAAAAUUAAAUAGUAUAUCAAAAAAAAACCUCAUCAUUCGAACUGACAACCAUCAGCUAUUAUACAUACAUUAUUGCGUUUUUCCAAUGUUAUCAAUGUCGACAUUUUUUUUUUCUACCAUUCUUACUCAAUUCCAAUUUUUUUUCUUCCUCCUUCCCCGCAUUAACGAGUACACUUUAAUUUUUGCUCUGCAUUUUUAUCGCAUACGCUUACAGUCGCAAUAUACUCGUAAUAUACUUAUUAUGCAACAUUAUAGUCACGGAUAUUUGAUUCAAUCUCCGAAUCUUCGAAGGAUUGCGUUGUUUUCAAAUUGAAUAAAACUAUCGAUAUUAUUGUUAUUAUUAUAUUAUUAUUACUACUACUAUAUUAUUAUUAUUGAUAAGUGGUAACCGAAAUGCAACUGGUGUGGACGUCACGAAUAAUGUUGAGUUAUGGAUAAAAAAUAUGUUCCUUGGUUUUUCUAUUAAUUCUGAAAAUCUGCGAAUAGAAAAUAAGUGAAUUUAGAAUAUAAAUUUAGCCCGUUGUAAUAAUAUUUUUUCAUCCGUCCACGCGACUCGCGAUGCGGUUACCGCUUUAUUAAGCCGACCAAAGCUACGAAAUGAGAGAUCUUGGGGGGCACAAGGAGCUGCCGGUGAUAUGACCAGAACAAUCAGCAAAAGCGUGACAGUUUCGCAAUGAAAAG